rnacentral:rRNA from 1 species
AUGGCUUCCAAGCAGAUGCUGGUCGUCGCCAUUGCCGUGGCCGCCCUCAUUGUCGCCUUCCUUCCAGGGCUCGCCGUCGCCACAGAACACGUGGUCGGCGACGACAAGGGCUGGGCCCUCUAUGUCGACUACACGGCCUGGGCUGAGACCAAGCAGUUCGUGGUCGGCGACAUGCUAGUGUUCGAGUACGGCAUCUCCAGCCACAAUGUCGUGGAGGUGAGCGGGCCAGAUUUCCUCAUUUGCAACCAGACCGACAACGCCGUCGUCCGGACCUCCGGCGAGGACCGGGUCGUGCUCGACAAGGCCGGACGCCGGUGGUUCUUCUGCGGCAUCGACAACAACUGCGAGAACGGCGUGAAGCUCAAGAUCACCGUCCUCGAGACCGCCCCACCGGCUCCCUAA